ACUCGGGGUCUGGGGAUCAUACUUAGGUAUACACUGAGCCUUCUUAUCUAAGUAUUUAUUUAUUUAAGUUUUUUUUACUAUUUUUGUUUUAUGUGUAUGUGCGUAUGUCUCUCUGUGUGUUUUCACAUAUAAGUGCAGGAGCUUGAGGAGGAGUUAGGUUGUCCUGCACUUGGAGUUAUAGGUGACUGAACUCGGGUCUUCUUUAAAAGGAGUAUGGGUUUUUGAGCCAUCUGUCAAGUCCUUUAUUGAGGAAGGAUCUCACUGUGUUAGCGUAGGCUGGCCUAGAACCUGUGAUCCUCUUGCCUCAGCUUUCUAAGUGCUGAGUUCACAGCCUGUGCACUACCAUGCCUAGCUUAAAUCUUCUUACUUUUAGAUCUGGAAUAUGGAAGUAAAUGUUUGUUAGGUUUUGGCUGCUUCCUCUAUGGUCUCCUCCCUGACACCAACAAGACCUUUCUACAGUGGGUUAUUAUUUCUCUUUUAUCUUGGUGAGGGAAGAAAUGUCUAGAAAUUGGGAAGUGCAAUCAUAUGAAAAUUGGCCACAAGAUGGCAGUGGCACACAGUGAGGCUUGGUUUGGGUGGAGCUUGGACCUGCCUGUCAAGAGGAAGUGCCUUCUACAGGCAACCUAGACAAAGUACUGCAGGGCCACCAUCCAGAAAGGGAAAAGAGAGGGACCAGAAGGGGGAUUUACACGUCUGGGUGAAGAGGACAAAGAACUGAAGGGCAACAGCGCCCUGGCCUCUCUAGAACUGUUGUGUGGUUAGACAGUACAUUUUGUGCUGUGUAUAUUUACCACAAGAAACAUCGAGAGAGCUGAAGCUGGCUGGAGGGGGAAGGAACAACGAAGCCCAAGCCACCACCACCCCCCACCCACCCCCCCAUGAGUUGCACAGAGGUCUCCGGCUUUGUAAGUCACGUGGGUUUGGUACACAGCCGCCUCUAGGUGUUAAGUGGCUGCUGUGAGGGCCUACUUUGCCUCCAGGUGGCGCUCUUGGGAAACCUUUAUUAGGGUUCUAUUCUUGUCCUUCAGUCUGGCUCUCUUUUGUUUUAUAGGAUACAGUCAUAUUUCCACUCCCUGACAGAUUUUAGAGGUGCUAGUUUUCAAUCAGGCAACGUUCUUCACUUUAUUAUCAAAACUGUUACUAGUUAACAAGUCGUUUACCCAUUGGAGUUUUUGUUUGUUUUUUUGUCUUUCAGGUAGUCUCACUAUGUAGUCCUUGGAAUUCAUUCUGUAGACCAGGUUGAUCCUCAAACUCACAGAGAUCUGCUUGCCUCUGCCCCUGUCCCAGUGCUGGAGUUAAAGGUGUGUGCCACGACCUGUUUUUUUUUUUAAUCAAAUUUAUUGAAGUCUACUUUGCAUAAUGUAAAAUUCAGUGUUCAUCUGUGCAACCAUCAAUCAACUCUACAGCCAUUUUCAACAUCCACAAAGUCACUCAUACUCCUUUGCUUGCUUUUUAUUAAUAUUUUCAACCUUUGGAAACUGCUGAUAUUAUUUCUAUCUCUAAACGUUUAUAGGAAUCAUGUUUUGAGGGCUUAAAUAUUAUAAAAGUCAUAUAUCAUACAGUGUGUACUUGUGUAUAUCUGGUUUCUUCCAAUAGUAUAGUCUUUAAGAAAUUGAGAUACAUUUUUAAAAGAGUUACA
rnacentral:lncRNA from 1 species